rnacentral:lncRNA from 1 species
ACUGUUAGCAUAAUAUUGUAGUUAGAUGACUAAUUCGAACAAUGAUUGUAAUGAUUAUAUAUUAGGAGAUAAUGGCAGCACUAUGGAUGAGUAAUUACCUGUGGAAAUUAUGAGAGCUUGCGCAGUGUGAUUGAGAUUGGCUUUUGCCCAAGGUAGCAUCCUUACACUAGCCAGCUGCAUAUGAUCAAGUAUUAUUCCAGUUAGUUUUUUUACAGAAAAUCUCUAUUGGAAUAUUAAGAAGUGGUUAUUUCAAAUGUAAAUCGAUCCUGAUUCUUGAGAACUUUAUGUCCAAAAUAAUUGAAUGAACCAAAGAAAAUUGAACAGGUGGAAAGAGUACUUACAGUUGGAAUGGCAGUUGCAAUAGUAGCAACAACUGCAGCCUUGGCUCCUGCCAUCACACCCUCUGUUUACACACAGAUGAAAAAUGUAAAUUAAAACCAAACGAAAUUCAGAUAUCGUGAAAUUUACAAAUCUCAUAAUGAACAUAAUUCUGAACCACAUAUACGGUCGAAAACUUAUCAGUCCAGACAUGAAAUAAGAAGGAAAGGAAAACAUAAUGCUUUUACACUCGGAGAAAAGCAUACAUUACCAUGGGAACAGCGCUUGGCCAUGGCCAACUUUUGAUCCAGAGAAGCCAAGGUACUCCUCUCAAAAGAAGAAUUAGCAGCGACAUUUCUUUUGGCCAUCUUAAAAAAAUGAUUGAGCAAAAAAAAAAAACAGCUAAGAAUUGAAGAAAUGUUAGUAAACAGAUGAACAACUGAAGUAGGUUUGGAUGAAGAGUUGCUGAAGUUGCUGGCAUAUUUAUACUGAGAUUGGACGAAGAAAAUAAAUCAUUAAUUUAGGUGGCCCUGUCUGUGGCAGGGGAGGAGUUUGAUGGUUUGAACUGAAAUCCACCGUCUCAGACAGCUGUUUUCACUUGGGUUUCUGUUUCAGUCGGUUGAUGCUUUUACUGUUCCCUAAAUACUACUACUUUAUUUUUCAUAAGAUAAGAUUGUUAAUGAAAACAGUUUUAUCCAAAUUCGUGCACGUGAAGGAUUCUGGUACCUGAAAAUGCCAACGUGGCCCUAUCCUAUUAAAUGCAGGAAGUAAACAUUGUACUUAGUCUACUACUUACGUUAUCCACUGAUUCCGGUCGAGUGACAAAAAAAUCCAUAAAAUAAAUUGAUAUUCUGUCUUUUUAUCCCUGAUCCUGUAUAUAUGUUUACUUUGCCGCAUUCUAGUACGAUAAAGAAAAGUUGCACGUCAGGAGCAUAUCGUGUUGAAGGAAAAUUACGUUUGGAAGGAAAAUUACGUUGUUUAGUUAUAGCAAUUACAGUUUAUUGUAUUUGGUUGUCUAGGAACAAGCUAAUUUUUGAAGAUGAUCAAUUUUCUGUAAUAGAGGUUAUUAGCAAGAUUAAAUUUCUUAUGUAUAGACAAACGCACAUGUUACAUUUAUUUUAACAUCUUGAUAUAGGUCUUCUUGUAUUAGAGAGAUUUUUGAUUUUCUUUAACUGCGGGGUAUGCCCCGUUUAUUAUUGUAUCAUUUUGGGUUUAAUAUAAUUUACAUUUUUUCCCAAAAAAAAAGAAAAGUUCCUUUUCGCAAGGUAUUUUAUUUUUUUUAAUGCAUUACUAAAUAUUUAAUUAGGGGUAAAUCCAUAUUAGGUGUUUAUGGAAAAUUUGAUUGUCUUGACUACAGCAAUUAUAGUUUACUGCAUCUGAAUUUCUAAGAACAAGUUAAUUUUUGAAGAUUAUCAAAUUUUUAUAAUAGAGGUUAUUAGUAAGAUUAAAUUUCUUAUAUACAAACAAGCGCAACUGCAAUUGUUUUAACAUCUUGAUAUAAGCCUUAUUAUAUUAGGAAGACUUUUGAUUUUCUCUAACCGCGGGGUAUGCCCCGUUUAUUGUUGUAUCAUUUUGAGUUUAAUAUAAUUUACAUUUUUCUUAAAAAAAAAAGUUUUUUUUUUGGCAACGGCAACUGUAGAAGCUGGUUGUUUUGACCGAAGAUGACCAAAAACCAUUGGCAUUGCAUUGAUCCCAACAACCAGAUAUUUAAACCAAACAUAAAAGAGUAGAAAGGAAGCAUUAGUUUUCAUAAAAUUGGUCUAAAUUAUCACAAUAUAGAAUUUUUCAUAAUUUAGAUCAAUUUUCAUUUUAUUCAUAAGCAAGUUUUAUUUAAUUUUUCAUAAAUUAAAAAAUUAAACUACAUGCUAUAUAGAAAUUAAACAUAGUAAUAAUUUUUCGGUUGGGUUAGCACUUAGGCCCGUUGGAUCUUUCUGAGAGCAAUGCAACACAUGUCCAACUCAACACGUGCUAUAGUGCUGGCAAUCGCACUCACAGAAAGAGUGUCUGUACGACAUUGUUUGGUAUACUUAUUAUUUUUGGCCGUAGUGGGUGACCUCUCUAGACUCUAGCCAAUCGCAGAGUUGAUCGUCCACUUCUUGGCUAACCUUGAGAGUUGAGACAGUUGCUCUCUCUUCUGCUAUUUCCGCAUUUAAGUUGGACACUUUGACUAGAUGUUGAUAUGUCCUUGUGAAAUAUAUAUGAUGUAUUUUAAAGAUAUUAAAAGAAAAAUAUGACUACAUAUGGACAACAUAAAAUCAUUUAAUUAGUAUAAAAUUACUAUUAAUAUAACUUUAUAUAUAUAUAUAUAUAUAUAUAUAUAUAUAUAUAUAUAAUGGUCUAUAAUUGAAUGAUAAUGUGAAAAAUUUAUUGAAAUAAUAUUAGUAAGCAUUGUUUUAUACCAAAGCAUUUGUAAGGAUUAUAUAUUAUUUAAUAAGUCAUCUCUAUAUGCCUGAAAAUGCAUGAGUAAUCAAAAUAAUAUUAAUUUUGUGUUGUGAAAUUCAAUCAUUGAAAAGAUAAAUAUUAUGAAGAUUUAUAUCAAUAAAUCAUAAACAAUUAAAUACUGAAUCUUAAUAUCACAUUUUAAUUUAAAAUUUUAAGACUCAACUUUAUGAGUCAUUUUCUCACUUAUAUGAUGUUUAACAUUUUUAUUUCUAUCCGAUGUGAAAAUUACUUUAUACUUGUACUCCAAGAAUCUCCUCCUAGAUAUAAGUUUCUUUUACAUGAUAGUCUUCCUCUUGAACGGAAAUCAUUUUUACUUUAUAAGUAUCUAGUGAUGAUUCUUAGAUUAUUGCUCUCUUUCUUAGUUAAUAUUUAAAAUUAUGAAAUUGCUUAAAUAAUUUUAAAAAUAUUGAAUAAUUAUCACUUUAGUCUCUUGAUGUAUUUAAAGAUUAAUUGAAAUAGUUUUUUUUAUAAAAAAAAAAAACACGUGGAGGACUACAUGCCAUCAUUCCUACUACUUUCAAGUCUACUUAGUUUAUUUUUUACUUUAGGAACUGAUUAAGAGUGAGAGUAACACUUCAAAGAUGAAAUUGUUGGUUACAAUAAUCAUGCCAUCUUUUUUUACAUAGAAAUCAUUAUGUGUUUGAUUUUCAUUUCUUUUGUCAAAAUUUCAAUUUGUUUAUAAAUUAUUUUGUCUAAAAUAAAUUAAACUGAAAAUAUACAUUUAACAUAUAAAAAUAAUAUGUUCGAUGAGAAAUAUGGAAAAGAAGCUAUUUGGGGUGUUCUCUGCUUAAUGUUUGUAGGAUUCAUGGAUAGUUUGAGUUGCGUGAAUACGUUGCAGAACACCUCUUUUUAUUAGAGGAGAAAAUGCAGGAGCUGGCAGAUUGAUGAUGUUGUGCAUGAGUUCCUUGUUGGUGAUAAUUUCCACCCAGAAUGAAAAUAUUCAUAGGAUGCUGGAUGAGCUAAUAUCCAAGAUCUUCAAUAGGGAGAUAAUCGCAAGAGAUAGAAAUCUUUUACACCAUUUCUCAAAGAUGGGUUUUGUUCAUGCAAUGACUGCUGGUGAAACUUUAUCUGUUUGUUCAAUGGAAUACAUGAUAUAUACGCACUUUGUGUAGAAGAAAGAUGAACGAUUUGCAUUCAUGUAAUUAGCUGAUAAUUGGUACACAUGUAUGUGCUCUCUCUCAGUAUAGAAAUGAAAACCCCUCCUUUAUUAUAAAUACAUACAUAUACAUAUGUGAUGAGUUCCAUGGUUGGGUUAAUGCUAACAUAGCCCAACGUAGUGCAGCCGAACCCAGCAUCCAAGUUAUCCAUUUGGAAUUCAUGCAUUGGAGGGUGGGUUGAAGGAGUUCUUUCUUGCAGUUGCCAAAACGGUCUUGUGAGCUACUAUAAAAUAUGCUGCUCCCGCCACUGUUUACACAAUAUGGUAGUUAGAUGACUAAUUAGAAAAAUGAUAGUAAUAUGGUUAAUUAUGAGAAGAUCAUGCAUGGCAGCACUAUAUAUGGAUGAGUCAUAUUUACCUGUGGAAAAUUAUGAGAGCUUGAGCAGUGUGAUUGAGAUUGGCUCUUGCCCUAGGUAACAUCCUUACACUAGCCAGCUGCAUAUGAAGCACAAUUAAUUCAAGGUAGUUAUUUUCAAAAAUCUCUGUUUGAAUAUUAAGAGGAGGUUAUUUUAAAUGUAAACUGGUCAUGAUUCAUGAGAACUUUAUGUCCAAAGUAAUUGAAUGCAACAAAGAAAAUUGAAUAGGUGGAAGGAGUACUUACAGUUGGUAUGGUAGUGGCAAUAGUAGCAACAACAGUUGCCUUGGCUCCUGCCAUCACCCUCUGUUUUCAUACAAAUGAAAAAUGUAAAUUAAAACCAUGUAACUUUCAGAUAGUUUACAAACUCAUCAAUGCCCAUAAAAUGCUGAACCAUAUACACACACGGUCCAAAACAUAUCAGUCCAGGCAUAAAAUAAGGGAAAGAAAACAGAAUAUUGCAUUAACACUCUCAAAGUAUACUACAUUACCAUGAGAGCAGCGCUUGGCCAUGGCCAACUUUAGAUCCAGGGAAGCCAAGCUAGUCCUUUCAAAGAAGAAUUAGAACCAACAUUUCUCUUAGCCAUCUUAAAAAAAAUUGAUUGAACAAAAGCUAAGAAUGGAAGAAAUGUUAGUAAUAAAGAGAUGAAUAACUGAAGUAGCUUUGGAUGAAGAGUUGCUGCUGAAGUUGCUGGCAUAUUUAUACUGAGAUUUGGUGAAGAAAAGAAAUCAUUGAUUUAAAAUCAUAUUGCCAAAAAAGAGAAGGGUGGCCCCGCAGGGGGGAGUUCGAUGGUUUCAACUAAAAUCCACCGUCUCCAACAGUUGUUUUCACUUUGGUUUCUCAUUUACUCUACUUUAUAGUAUUUCAUAAUGUGAUGUAAAUGAAAUUAAUUUUCUUGGUUGGUCAUGUUUUCACGUAAUUAGUGCUUCCUUAUAUAUGCAUAUUUAAUUCAUGCUUUCCCUGCAUGCCCCUGCUCUGUACUUAGCAUAGAAGAAGCCAUAUUUCACCACGCAGCAGCAAUUCCUGACCUGAUUUAUUGUCUUAUUGUCCCUUCGAUCUUUCAUUUUCAUAAAAAUAAAAUAAUUUGGAAAAAUAAAUAAAAUGAAUACACGAGAAAAGGAAAUAGAAAGAACAGCAGAAUAUAUUGUCUUACAAGUCAUAGCCUUACUAUCCAUGGAUAGGUUCCUCUCAAUAAUGUAUAGGAAUCACGUAAAGAUGGACAAAAGGAUAAAUAUGUGUGUGUUUGUGUAAACGACAAAGGAAUGAAGAGAAAGUUACUCGUUGCACCUCUAUAAAGAUUGAUAGUGUGUCGUGCAUGGCUUCCUUGUUGAUGAUUAGUUCCAUGAUCCACAGAUGGAAAAUAUUUAUAGAAUUCUGGAUGAGGUAGAUAUAUACUAGCUAAUCUCUUGGAGGAGACUGUGUUUGUGCCUCAUACUUUUGAGGAGCGGAAGGAAGGAGCUUUGAUUCAACGCGGUGAUAAGUUGGCUAUUGCUUUUGGUUUGAUAAGCACAAAGCCGGUGACUACAUUAAUUAUGAUCGUGAAGAACCUACUUCGUCUUUGUGGAAAUUUCCAUCUGGCAUCCAAACUAAUAUCCAAGAUCUUGAAUAGGGAGAUAAUUACACUUGCGUAGAAGAAAGGUGAAUGAUUUGCAUUCAUAUAAUAAUUGCACUUGUGUAGAAGAAAUUAAGGUGAAUGAUUUGCAUUCAUAUAAUUAACUGAUAAUUAGUACAUAUGUUCCAUCUCACUAUUGAAAUGCAAACUCUUCAUUAUUAUCAAUACAUAAUUACAUUUACAUAUAUGAUAAGUUCGAUGAUCGGGUUUAUGCCAAGAUAAUCCAAGGUGAAGCUGAAUCCAGCAUCCAAGUUAUCUAUUUGGAAUUCAUGCUUUGGAGGGUCGGUUGAAGGAGUUCUUUCUUGCAGUUGCCAAGACAGUCUUGUCAGCUACAAUGAAAUAUGCUGCUCCCGCCACUGAUGACAAAAUGUUAUAGUCAGAUGACUAAUUCGAACAAUGAUAUGGCUUUGAGGAGAUCAUGGAAGCACUAUGGAUUGGAUGAGUAAUAUUUACCUGUGGAAAUUAUGAGAGCUUGAGCAGUGUGAUUGAGAUUUGCUCUUGCCCAAGGUAGCAUCCUUACACUAGCCAGCUGCUUAUGAUCAAAGCAUAAUUCCAGUUAGUUAUUUAUAAAAAUAAAAAUUUCUAUUUGAAUAUUAAGAAGUGGAAGGUUAAUCUAAUCGUAAAUUGAUCGUGAUUCAUGAUUCAUGGGAACUUUAUGUAAAAAAUAAUUGAGUAGGUGGAAGGAUUACUUACAGUUGGAAUGGCAGUGGCAAUAGUAGCAGCAACAGCUGCCUUGGCUCCUGCCAUCGCACCCUCUGUUUACACACAAAUAAAAAAUGUAAAUUGAAACCAUGUAAUUCAGAUAUCGAGAAAUUUGCAAACUCAUUAAUGACCAUAAUUCUGAACCAUAUAGAAUGCUUUUACACUCUCAAAGUAUACAUUACCA